UUGUCAUAGUCCUCCAUUGUCAUAUAUGUAUAUGAAAGGUGAUGAGGACUUGUCAUAGUCCUCCAUAGUCAUAUAUGUAUAUGAAAGGUGACGAGGGCUUGUCAUAGUCCUCCAUAGUCAUAUAUGUAUAUGAAAGGUGAUGAGGGCUUGUCAUAGUCCUCCAUAGUCGUAUGUGCAUAUGAAGGGUGAUGAUGAGUCCACUUCAGGACUCCCCUUCUGAUCGCUCUAGGCCAAGGUGCCACCAAAGUGUGUUUCAUGUGAAGGUGACUGUGAUCAUAGAUCCUUAACGUUCCUUAAUGCCGCCCUGCGCCUUACCUACACCUGGAGCCUGUUCCAAAGUUCACUAUGGAUCAGGGAUCAAUCAAGUUUAUUCAACUGUUCUGUUUCAUUCUAUGUAAUAGUGCUGUUUUGAAGAAUCACUGCAGUUCAUGUGGACCAGGGCUUGAUACAGUCCAAUCAGGCACCAUAUUUGCCUUCUGGAUGGAACCAUAGACAUUAAUAUAGGUCUGUCUGUCAACCAAUUUAAGAGCCUUUUAGAUGCUAAGGAUGUGCCUCAAUGCUGUUGUUUUAAAUGAUUCUCUGAUUUAAUUCUUUUUACUUUUAUGUAAUUUUUUUUAUACUUAAUUUCUGAGUUGUUUAAUGUGUUUUGUUUAUUUAUUUUGUCUGUUAUGUUUUGUUAUGGUUUGUUUAUUUAUUGUUGUAUGUAUUAUGUAGCCUCAAUCAGGGCAUUGCUGCAAAAGAGCCCUGUGCUCAGUCAAUUCUCCCUGAAUAAACAAUGAUGAUGAUGAUAUGUCUAUGGAUGGAACAAGCAAUGUGGUCAGUUUCGAGAGAACCCCAUUAUGACAUCAGUGUCACAUGUCCCAGAAUUCUCCUUGUUCUCUUACCCUUCCGUGUCACCUCAGCUAGUGAAAUGCCCCUCAAACCAGUUUUCUUCAUGUGGUUCCUCCUUGAUGGACCCCUCUGGUGUGGUGCACCUCACUUUUCAGUCACUUUGGAUAAAAGCCUCCGUCAAAAUGAAUAAAUGUAAUGUAAUGUGAUAAUUUAGCCGGUCACCAGGCCCAGGAUGUGGUGAGACAGCCGUGGAGCAGGAGGAAAAGCACCCACUGAGUGGCCAGGCUGGCAGUGCCGCUACUGUCACCGCUUAAUUCAAUAAAAAAUGA
ensembl:lncRNA